GGUGUAGCGGUGAAAUGCGUAGAGAUCUGGAGGAAUACCGAUGGCGAAGGCAGCUUCCUGGCAUCAUACUGACACUGAGGCUCGAAAGCGUGGGUAGCAAACAGGAUUAGAUACCCUGGUAGUCCACGCCGUAAACGAUGUCUACUAGUCGUUGGGUCCCUUGAGGACUUAGUGACGCAGCUAACGCAAUAAGUAGACCGCCUGGGGAGUACGGCCGCAAGGUUAAAACUCAAAUGAAUUGACGGGGGCCCGCACAAGCGGUGGAGCAUGUGGUUUAAUUCGAUGCAACGCGAAGAACCUUACCUGGUCUUGACAUACACAGAAUCUUGUAGAGAUACGAGAGUGCCUUCGGGAAUUGUGAUACAGGUGCUGCAUGGCUGUCGUCAGCUCGUGUCGUGAGAUGUUGGGUUAAGUCCCGCAACGAGCGCAACCCUUGUCCUUAGUUACCAGCGGGUUAAGCCGGGAACUCUAAGGAUACUGCCAGUGACAAACUGGAGGAAGGCGGGGACGACGUCAAGUCAUCAUGGCCCUUACGACCAGGGCUACACACGUGCUACAAUGGUAGGUACAGAGGGCAGCUACACAGCGAUGUGAUGCGAAUCUCAAAAAGCCUAUCGUAGUCCAGAUUGGAGUCUGCAACUCGACUCCAUGAAGUAGGAAUCGCUAGUAAUCGCGGAUCAGAAUGCCGCGGUGAAUACGUUCCCGGGCCUUGUACACACCGCCCGUCACACCAUGGGAGUUGAUUGCACCAGAAGUGGUUAGCCGAACCUUUUAGGACGG
rnacentral:rRNA from 1 species